rnacentral:misc_RNA from 1 species
CGCACAUUGCGCCCUUUGGUAUUCCGAAGGGCAUGCCUGUUCGAGCGUCAUUUAAGCCCUCAAGCACCGCUUGAUGUUGGGCGCGGUCCGGUAGGACCCGCCCGGAACUCGUUGGGCGGGACCGUCCGGCUCCAAGCGUAGCAAGAUUUAUCCCUCGCUUCGGAGACCUGGCGGCCCUCGCCCGGGAACCCACCCCCACAGCUUGACCUCGGAUCAGGUAGGGAUACCCGCUGAACUUAA